ensembl:lncRNA
CCCCCCGCCCCACAACAGCUGUGGGGCAGCGCAGGUGGAGGAGCCCCAAAUAGCAGCAAAGAAUCCGUGGGGCGGAAAUGGGGGGGGGGGGGGAUGGAAGGGGACACCUAUGGGGCAUUCCAGCCCCACACAUCGGCUCCAGCCCCAUAGAUCGGCCCCAUAGCGGGUCCCGGCCCCAUAGAUUGGCCCCACAGUGGAUCCCAGCCCCAUAGAUUGGCCCCAUAGUGGCUCCUGGCCCCAUAGACUGGCCCCAUAGAUGGGUCCCAUAGACUGUCCUGGCCCCAUAGAUUGGCUCCAGCCCCAUAGAUCAGCCCCAUAGACAUUUUCAGCCCCAUAGAUCAGCCCCAUAGCGGGUCCUGGCCCCAUAGAUUGGCUCCAGCCCCAUAGAUUGGCCCCAUUGCGGGUCCUGGCCCCAUAGAUUGGCUCCUGCCCCAUAGGUUGGCUCCAGCCCCAUAGAUCAGGCUACAGGGCAAAGCUAUGGGGCAGAGCUAUGGGGCACUAUGGGGCAGAUAUGGCGCUACGCGGCGCUAUGGGGCAGCUAUGGGGCAGAAAUGUACGGCAAUGGGAACAGAUGGAGGAUGAAUGGGGGCUAUGGGGGGGUCUAUGGGGUUAUGGGGUGGCUAUAGGGCAGCUAUGGGGCAGGGCUGUGGGGCGCUAUGGGGCAGAGAUGUGUGGCAGUGGGGAGGGAUGGAGGAUGAAUGGGGUCUAUGGGGGGUCGAUGGGGUUAUGGGGCACUAUGAGGCACUAUGGGGCCGCUAUAGGGCAUCUAUGGGGCAGAUCUAUGGGGCGCUAUGGGGCAGCUAUGGGAAAGAGGGAAGGCAAUGGGAACAGAUGGAGGAUGAAUGGGGUUAUGGGGGGGCUAUGGGGCGGCUAUGGGAUUAUGGGGCACUAUAGGGUCUCUAUAGGGCAUCUAUGGGGCAGAGUUAUGGGGCUCUAUGGGGCUCUAUGGGGCAGAGAUGGUGUUAUGGGGUGCAGAGAUGGAAGGCAAUGGGAAUGGAUGGAGGAUGAAUGGGGGCUAUGGGGUUAUGGGGCGCUAUGGGGAGCUAUGGGGUGGCUAUGGGGCAUCUAUGGGGCAGAGCUAUGGGGCUCUAUGGGGCUCUAUGGGGCAGAAAUGGUGUUAUGGGGUGCAGAGAUGGAGGGCAAUGGGAAUGGAUGGAGGAUGAAUGGGGGCUGUGGGGUUAUGGGGCGCUAUGGGGCUCUAUGGGGUGGCUAUGGGGCAUCUAUGGGGCAGAGCUAUGGGGCUCUAUGGGGCUCUGUAGGGCUCUAUGGGGCAGAGAUGGAAGGCAAUGGGAAUGGAUGGAGGAUGAAUGGGGGAUGUAAGGCAAUGGGAAUGGAUGGAGGAUGAAUGGGGGAUAUGGGGUUAUGGGGCGCUAUGGGGCGCUAUAGGGCGGCUAUGGGGCAUCUAUGGGGCAGAGCUAUGGGGCUCUCUGGGGCUCUAUGGGGCAGGGAUGGAAGGCAAUGGGAAUGGAUGGAGGAUGAAUGGGGUCUUUGGGGUUAUGGGGCGCUAUGGGGCGCUAUAGGGCGGCUAUGGGGCACAGCUAUGGGGCGGAUCUAUGGGGCAGAGCUAUGGGGCUCUAUGGGGCUCUAUGGGGCAGGGAUGUAAGGCAAUGGGAAUGGAUGGAGGAUGAAUGGGGGCUAUGGGCUUAUGGGGCGCUAUGGGGCGCUAUAGGGCGGCUAUGGGGCAGAGCUAUGGGGCGGAUCUAUGGGGCGCUAUGGGGCAGAUCUAUGGGGCUCUCUGGGGCUCUAUGGGGCAGGGAUGGAAGGCAAUGGGAAUGGAUGGAGGAUGAAUGGGGGCUAU